CUUAACACUGCUGCCAUGGACUUAUGUGUCCCUCAUAAAUGCAUGUGCUGAAACCUAAUCGCCAAUGUGAGGAUACAAGGCGCUCUUGAAAGGUGAUUAGGUCAUGGGGGAAGAGUUCUCAUGAAGGGAUUAGUGGCCUUCUGUAAGAGGCAUCAGAGAGCUCCCUCACCCCUUCUGCCACGUGAGGACACAGCGAGAAGGCACCAUCUGUGAAACAGGAAGUGGGCCCUCCGCAGACAACAAAUCUACCGGCACAUUGAUCUUGGACCUCCCGGCCUUUAGAACUGGACAGAGUUUCCGAUGUUCAUUUAUUUAAUCCCUCUUGGAAAGUGUUAGCAGCUCGUUGCAUCUGUAAAGGAUGGAGGUGCCUUUGAUCACUUCAAUCAACUCACAGCUUCUCCCUUCCCAAAGGCGGCAAUCAAAGGAGAGCAACCUGUGGUAUAAUUCAAGGCUGGCAAAGAGACAGACAAAGAUGAUGGCAGAGGUGCCUCCCCUGCAGCCUGUGGAUCCAUACUGCACUCACGUCCUCACUCUGAAGGUGGCCUCCUAUGAACACCUGCAGCUCAGGCCCGGGAGUUCUUAUCUGUUUGUGACAGGACAUUCCACCCACAUGUAGGACAAGGCAGACAUUGCUGGAGUGUUUGAGCCGCAGGGAGCAGCGCUCAACCAACCAUGGAUGGGACUGGUGGAUAAUCGCCCAGCUCCCUUCCCUUUCCAUGGGACAGCUCUGGGAUGCAUGCUUUGCCCUGGCCCCAGCAGAGCUGAACCUCAGUUGCCACCUGCCCCCCAGCCCCCUCCGUAGGAACAUGCCUGGGGACACACCCUUCCUUGGCUGCCUUCCCGUUCCCAUCCCUGUCUCUCACUGUCCCCUCCCUCCUGGUGUUUCCUGAAUCACUGUGCAAAUAAACUACUCACACCCCAGCUCCUGUUUCAGGGUCCACUUCUUGAGGGGUGUAAGCUAAUCAGUCUGUGCAGUUUGGUUCUGGAGGUCACUGAAAAGACUCACUCCUCCCUCUUUCUACCCUGAAGACGGAAAGCUCCCUUUCCCCAUCCAGAUGUGAACUCUGACUGCAGUGAAGUGAGACCUUGGGUGGGGGGCAGGAGAGGGACCCAAGGGUUGACAAGAGUAAGGAAUGGUAGAAGAAAGGGCUUGGGGUGCUCCAGUGUGCCCCGAGAACUGAGGAGGAGGCC
rnacentral:lncRNA from 10 species